rnacentral:rRNA from 1 species
CCUACGGGAGGCAGCAGUGAGGAAUAUUGGUCAAUGGGCGCAAGCCUGAACCAGCCAUGCCGCGUGCAGGAUGAAGCAUCUAUGGUGUGUAAACUGCUUUUGUACGGGAAGAAACCCUGCCACGUGUGGCAGAUUGACGGUACCGUAAGAAUAAGGAUCGGCUAACUCCGUGCCAGCAGCCGCGGUAAUACGGAGGAUCCAAGCGUUAUCCGGAAUCAUUGGGUUUAAAGGGUCCGUAGGCGGUUUUAUAAGUCAGUGGUGAAAUCCGGCAGCUCAACUGUCGAACUGCCAUUGAUACUGUAGGACUUGAAUUAUUGUGAAGUAACUAGAAUAUGUAGUGUAGCGGUGAAAUGCUUAGAUAUUACAUGGAAUACCCAUUGCGAAGGCAGGUUACUAACAAUAUAUUGACGCUGAUGGACGAAAGCGUGGGGAGCGAACAGGAUUAGAUACCCUGGUAGUCCACGCCGUAAACGAUGGAUACUAGCUGUUUGGUUGUAAAGCUGAGUGNGUAGAGAAGAGAUAAGUAUACCACCGUCGGGAGGUACGGGCGGCGACGACCGUACGAACGUACGAAAGGAAAGUUAGUACGGACGUGAGACGUUAGCCGACGGACGACGACGAGGGAGGAGG